rnacentral:rRNA from 1 species
GACGGAGGGGGCUAGCGUUGUUCGGCAUGACUGGGCGUAAAGGGCGCGUAGGCGGUUUAUUGAGUGAGGCGUGAAAGCCCUGGGCUUAACCCAGGAGGUGCGUUUCAUACUGGUAGACUUGAGUACGAGAGGGGAAAGCGGAAUUCCUAGUGUAGAGGUGAAAUUCGUAGAUAUUAGGAAGAACACCGGAGGCGAAGGCGGCUUUCUGGCUCGUAACUGACGCUGAGGCGCGAAAGCGUGGGGAGCAAACAGG